GACGAACGCUGGCGGCGUGCUUAACACAUGCAAGUCGAACGGAAAGGCCCAGCUUGCUGGGUGCUCGAGUGGCGAACGGGUGAGUAACACGUGGGUGAUCUGCCCCUAACUUCGGGAUAAGCUUGGGAAACUGGGUCUAAUACCGGAUAGGACAAUCGUUUAGUGUCGGUUGUGGAAAGUUUUUUCGGUUAGGGAUGAGCCCGCGGCCUAUCAGCUUGUUGGUGGGGUAAUGGCCUACCAAGGCGUCGACGGGUAGCCGGCCUGAGAGGGUGGACGGCCACAUUGGGACUGAGAUACGGCCCAGACUCCUACGGGAGGCAGCAGUGGGGAAUAUUGCGCAAUGGGCGCAAGCCUGAUGCAGCGACGCCGCGUGGGGGAUGACGGCCUUCGGGUUGUAAACCUCUUUCGACAGGGACGAAGCUUUGGUGACGGUACCUGUAUAAGAAGCACCGGCUAACUACGUG
rnacentral:rRNA from 1 species